AUGGGCUCUCCUAAGCUAUGUGUCUCUACCCUCUCAAACCGCCACCUCACAAAUGUGGAUCAGGUAAUACAGUUUGUAGAGCCAAGUCAGCAGUUUGUAAAGGACUCAAUUCGGUUGGUUAAAAGAUGCACCAAACACGACAGAAAAGAAUUCCAGCAGAUCGCCAUGGCUACACCAAUAGGAUUUGCUAUCAUGAAAUUCAUUGGCUUCUCUGUGAAACUGAUCCAUAUCCCUAUUAAUAACAUUAUUGUGGGUGGCUGAGUCCUUUCUCAUCAUGGGAUGAAUGAACCAAUGACGGAGUGACAAGCUCAUGAAGUAAAACGUUGCCUGGAUGCUUUGUGGUUUUGUUUCUUUCCUCCUUCCUAUGAGGUUUUCUAUUUCUAAAUUAAAAUAAUUUCAAAAUAAACACUUUUUC